rnacentral:rRNA from 1 species
GGGUUAAGUCCCGCAACGAGCGCAACCCCUACGUUUAGUUGCUAACGCGUGAAGGCGAGCACUCUAGACGAACUGCCGUUGACAAAACGGAGGAAGGUGGGGAUGACGUCAAAUCAUCAUGCCCCUUAUGUUCUGGGCUACACACGUGCUACAAUGGCCGGUACAGACGGACGCAAAGCCGCGAGGUGGAGCAAAUCCUAAAAAGCCGGUCUCAGUUCGGAUUGCAGGCUGCAAUUCGCCUGCAUGAAGUCGGAAUCGCUAGUAAUCGCAGGUCAGCAUACUGCGGUGAAUACGUUCCCGGGCCUU